GAGAAGCAAGCAAGAAAAUAAAGAAUACUGUGGUAGCUAAUGGAGUUAUACAAGUGCUCAACUUGCGGAAAAAGCCGACCUAGGCCUGCUAUAUAUUUUACUGACUUCCAAAUAGAAAUCAAGGUAUCUAAAUUUCAUUUCUUUGGAUAUUGUUUGCGGUUCUUUCAUUUCUACAUAUAUACACAUAUAUGAUAUAUAUGUACAGGUAUGUGUGUGUGUGGGCUGUUGAACUUGUUAAGAUAAAAAAACAUAUUAAGCUUGGUUAAGGAAUUGGUAGAUUCCGUUCCACGUGAACACCAAUUCCUUAUUUUUCUAUGUUUGACUAUGCAGUUUUCUUUCUCAAAAGAAAAAAGACUUUGCAGUUUUAGAACACCAUGUUUCGGUUUAUAUAUCCAUUUUAUAUUCAGCAUUUUCAAGAUUGUGAUUCACUUGAAAUGAAAGCCGUAGCCACCUUUAUGCUUGAAGAAGCAUCAAGUUGUGAUGAACAAUUUAACUUACGAGUGUAUUGUCAUUUAAAAUCAUUUGUUAAAUUUACAAUCAUUUUCUUUAAGCUAUUUACCUGUGAUUAUUUCAGUUUUAUAAGCUGCAUAGAAGCACAAUUUUUUUCAUCAGGCUUGUUAGAAUGCUCAUUGGCCGAAGCUCAUGAAAAUGUAAAUCAUUGGGAUUUUGCCAGAACUUCAAGAUAUGGUUGGAUAGAUCGAUCAUCUUAUGUAAUCCUAAUAUUUGGUUAACAAUAAAUAUUUUGUUGUGGAA
rnacentral:lncRNA from 1 species